GGGAAGGUGGCUCAGUGGUAGAGUGCUUGCUUUGCUUUGCAUGCAUGAGGCCCUGGGUUCAAUCCUCAGCAUUCAUA
rnacentral:tRNA from 1 species